UUGACAUUACUGAAGUUGCAGAUUUUUUGUUUUAGCAAACUAAGCAAACUGGUUAAAAUAAAACAUUCUCAAACCAACAAACUCUGCGUCUAACUUCCUGUCAAUGUUUGUGAGCAUCAGAUAUGCUGGUGCGUUUGUGUGUCCUCCUGAGUACACUGCGUGGCUGUGUCUCCUGUAGGGCUGUUUGUGAUGAGGUGAUUUUCUCCUGUAGGGAGUCAAACAUGGUAAAGGUCAUGCAGGUGGGGAGUUGUCAGAUAACCAUCCACGACCCACUGGGCCAAGGGGCGCUCGUGCCGCCUGUCAUAGCCUGUGGGGGCAGAGGCGGAAGUAGGGGUGUCUGUGGACGACUUGUGCCAUGCUGUCUGUGCCCCGCCCCUGGCAUCUGUUGCUGCAGUCCUGGUGUUCCCAGAAGAGCGAACCUGAGACUGACUGUACAGCAAUUUUUCACCUGCCUCCAUCUGUCUAACCCCAAUCCCUCCCUGGAUCCCCAUGAGAGGCAGCAGAGGAUCAAGGAAAGGGGAAAGAGUAACAGAAUGAGGGAGGAAGCGGAGGAAAGAAGUGUAAAUGCCCACACAGCUCUUGGUGGUGGGUCCAGUGAGACAGGGAGGCGGGCAGCUGUCAUUUCAGGUUAGUGCAGCCUACAAGUGGCUAAGGAGGAAGAGGAGAGGGAUAAAUAAGUGAAGAGGGUGCAGACCGGACUCAUGUUAAAUGUAGAACGACUAACAGACCAGACUGCUGUUGAGCUGUGUGUGUGUCUGUCUGAGUGACAGAGAUAGACUGACCAUGGUUCUACAUGUGCACAUGUGCACUACAGAGAACCUGCUGCCCAUCCCGCUGAGCUCCCAAUUACUACACACCACUUGAGCAGCACACACACACACACCACAAGCACAAACCCACAGGACCCCAGAGAAGCCUCAAAGCUGCCUGUCAGCUGCUGUUAGAUCACACUGCACUAGGUUGACACCACAAAACACACAGUCAGACACUCCUGAAUGCAAAGUUUUAUGUAAUUUGAAUUCAUAAAUCAAUUUUGUAUUUAUACA
rnacentral:lncRNA from 1 species